UACGGAAGGGGCAAGCGUUGUUCGGAAUCAUUGGGCGUAAAGGGCGCGUAGGUGGUUCUGUAUGUCUACCGUGAAAGCGUACGGCUCAACCGUAUUUUGUCGGUGGAAACUGCAGGACUUGAGGCUGGGAGGGGCUGGUGGAAUUCCCUGUGUAGCGGUGAAAUGCGCAGAUAUCAGGAGGAACACCGAUUGCGAAGGCAGCUCGCUGGGACGUGACUGACGCUGAGACGCGAAAGCGUGGGGAGCAAACAGG
rnacentral:rRNA from 1 species